CGUAGGGACCGAGCGUUGUCCGGAUUCAUUGGGCGUAAAGAGCUCGUAGGCGGCCACUCAAGUCGAAUGUGAAACCUCGAGGCUUAACCUCGAGCCUGCAUUCGAUACUGGGCGGCUAGAGUCUGGUAGGGGGAUCUGGAAUUCCUGGUGUAGCGGUGGAAUGGCGCAGAUAUCAGGAGGAACACCGGUGGCGAAGGCGGGAUCCUGGGCCAGUACUGACGCUGAGGAGCGAAAGCGUGGGGAGCAAACAGGAUUAGAUACCCUGGUAGUCCACGCCGUAAACGAUGGGCGCUAGGUGUGGGAGGUCAUCGACUCCUUCCGUGCCGCAGCUAACGCAUUAAGCGCCCCGCCUGGGGAGUACGGCCGCAAGGCUA
rnacentral:rRNA from 1 species